ensembl:lncRNA
AUUUUGCAAGCAGCUUUUGAAUAAAGAAUACAAAGGAAACACAUUCCAUUUAUAUCGUCAGUCAAUAACACCAUUCAGCCAACACUCCAGUUAAGCAGAUGUACAAGGACACAGAUCAGUGUGUCAGCCAGUUCAACUUCUGAUGCAGUUUACGUGACCUGGGGGAGAUAAAGAGUGUCAGUAAAAGUCUCUUAAAUCAGCACCUUUAAAUAUUUCUAGAUUUAUCAGAAUCAUCAAUCAGUCAUAACACAUCAGACUGGGGCGAUAAAUGUCAUCAUUAAAAAGUAAAACUAAACUUUCAAAAGCUGAUACAAAAUACAAACCUUUAAAAGUCAACAGAACACCAGCAAUCAAGUGACACUGGGACAACCUGGAUGGACAGUAGCAACACCUAAAGAACAAGGGAGGAGAAAAAAAAAAAAAAAGUACAGACAUGAAGUAUGGAUCAGAGGGGAUAUCAAUCUGUCUUUACUUUUCAGCCUGGGGCAAUCAACUCAUAUCCAUACUUUUUCAAUCAACAUUGUGUAAGUUUCAAACAAAACAAAUCACUGAGGUCAGAGGGUACCAUUCAGUCAGAUUAAUCAGACUGGGGCGGUAAUUCCAUCAUCACACCUACUAGGAUAGCUCACAUGUCUCUGAAGUUGAAAACACAAAAUACAUACUGUUAUAGUAUGCUCAAGGGGGAAGGACUUCAAGAAUCCACUGUAGUCCUGCAAGGAAUCAAGAGAAACAAGAUUAGGGAACGUAUGUAAAGAAACUUGUCUACACUAAAGCUAGUCCUUCUCAGACUGUUGGUAACCCCAACAAGUCAUCCCCUUGUUACCCAGGCAACACCAGUGGGUUCACCUUUUCAGGUUCUGGUAUUGACACAGGGCAUAAGACAUGUGCAAGUAACAUCAUAAAAGGACCAGCUGCAAUAGGUUUGUCAUUUUGUAUAUUAGGAACAGAAUUCUCACCUGUGAAUGUCUCAUCUCAGAUGUGCCACCUAUAGGUUAAAAAAAAAAAAAAAAUAGGAUGGGAGACCUACACAAAUGCAGAGAUAACACACAUACAGAUGC